AGAGCGCCGCGCCGGCAGCGGGCCUGCACGCAGCCUGGCCCCGCGGCACAGAACCCAGCGGAGGGGCCGAGCCGCCCUACCGCACCGCAGCCCUGGCAGCUCGGCAGCGCGCAGAGCCCCGCUCCCGGCACCACGGCCUACCGCGGCCCGGCCUUACCUUACCUGCCGGCGUGCGGCUCGCCGGGGGAGGCGGCGCCGCGGGGAUUGCCGGGCCGGAGCACUGCGGCCGCGGAGGGGCAGGGCAGGCCGGGAUGGGACAGGCUAAGCGCGGGCCGGCUUCGCAGCGCGGCCUUUGCGGGAGGCCAAGCGCCGUGACGGGCGGACCCGGCUGAGGGCAUGGCGGCCGCGCGGGGCUCGGGGCCGCCCCCGGGGGCAGACGUGCUUUCCUCCGCCAUCGCCGCACGCCGGAGCGAGAGGCCACGCUUCCCUCUCCCGGCGUCUGAAAACCGGCCCGCCAACGUGAACUCAUGCACUCUGACAAGUUUCCUGCGAGCAGGAGUGAAUCGAGUAGAGAAGUAGCGAGGCUGUCAGGUUGCUGACCCGCUUGUCUCACCUUCCCGUGUGCUGCCCCUCCUAGCGCUGGGCCUCCCGAGCAGACCUCCUUCGCUGCGGGUGAGUCUUUGCUGCAGGCAUUCAGCGCUGGGCCCGGGCAGGAGGCAGCGCUUGGCAAAGAGCCCCCUGAGCUGCCUUUGGAGGGGCGCAGACACUCCUUGAAGUUCUUCAGCGCGAUUUGCCUCUGCAGCCGCAGCACUUCUUUCUGGGAUUCCCGCAGCAGCCGGUCGAACUCCACCACGUUCAGGCAGCGAGGGUCACCCUGUGGGAAUGGCACCACGACGUGCAUCACUGUGCAGCUCCCAAAGGCACAGCCAAGAAGUCACAGAGCCAAGCGCUGCUCAGGCUGCACAGCCCAUUGCUCUGGUCCCAGGUCCUGCAGCACCACUGGUCCCAUCCCUGCUGCUUUACAGGCACAGCAUGUGUCCCAGAGAAAACUUCCAUCACCAGGAACAGCAGAGCCCUUCCUAGCACCCAGGCAGGGGACGCUGUGGGUGCCAACAGGGGCACGGAGCAGGAUGGGGCCACGGUGGGGUCCUGUUCCAGGCAAGCACAGCAGAGCUGUGGGCUGGUUCAGUGCUGCCAUCCCUAAAGCCAGGAAGGCAGCCCUUGGCAUAAAGUCAGAAUGCAUUAUUUCCACCUCUUUGCCGCUGCCAAGAAGACUCAAGCUUUUCAUCUUUGCUUUCUGGCGCCCAGCAAGGCCAGGCACGCUCAGCGUGGGGCAGGAGCUGGGUGGCUGUGGAGCAGCCAGGGUGCCGUGGCCUGUCCCCUUUAGCAGCCAGGCUUAUGGCAUGCCAGCACAGUGCAUCUGUGGGGACAAUCAGUACUUCCAGAGUGGCAGGGACUCUGCUGGGAACCUACCCCUUAUGGCCCCAUUUCAGUCUUCAAAACCUCUUUUCUGUAGCUACAAAACAGCGUCUUCACCAGGCCCAGAGGCAGCUCCAGAGCCCGCCACGCAGCGAAGGCCAGGCUGCGCUGAGCUUUGGGGUGCUGCCAGCUCCCCUGGGCCUGCACUGAGCUCCUGGGUCCUGCUCCAGGCCAGGCUAGCCCACAGCAUGGCUAAUCCCAACUCCUAGGCCCCUCUGCAGCCUCAGGGCCUCACCAGGAGAAGCACAAGGGGCAGCAGCAGCAGUGUAGUGCCAGGGGACCCUCUCUUUGGCCCCACAGCAUCUGAGGAAGCUUUGCCACCUCCCCCUGGCACAAGACUGGGGCCGGGCUGGCAGCCUGGGCUGAACCUUCCUCGCACACCACAUGGCCAGCACCGACCGCCUGUCUAGACGUCAUCCCACACUCAUUAAACAUUCAUUUCCCAUAA